GCGCCCGUAGCUCAGUGGAUAGAGCACCCGCCUCCUAAGCGGGGGGUCGGACGUUCAAAUCGUCUCGGGCGUGCCA
rnacentral:tRNA from 1 species